ensembl:lncRNA
CCUGUCAACAAUACUGCAACCUGAGACGGGAUAGCCAGCCAGCCAGUUGGCUAGCUAAGUAAACCAGCUAAGUUAGCUGCUCUGCUAACCAACUGUCACGACUCGUAAUUUUUCCCUUAAGUUGGCGGGAUACACUGUGUUAGAAGUUGUUUCGACAAGCGUGGAGGGAAAGCUGACUUUACGGUUUGGCUCUUUCGACUCCUUCCUCCCGUGUGAUAUGACAUCACGACUCGGUUACAAGAGAAGCUCGAGCUCAACAGCAGACGGUUGACAUCUGGUCAGGUGCCGUUCAAAAGGAUGGCUGCUCAGGUGGAGGUUCACACUACGGAGGUAGGAAGGACAGUAGCAGGAGGACGACAUCACCUGACUCCCCUCACAGACUCCAGCAAUAAGAGCCUCAUUGACAUCCCGUCUGUCAAUCAGCCGCAUGUCAUCGCAGCUGAACCAAACAAACCUGCCCCAAGCGCCAAGCCACGGCUUACUCCCAAACCUUUUUCUGUGGAGAAAAAUCCUACAAUUAAGCCCAUACUCGCCCCAAAGCCUCAAACCAAACCCCGACCUGAGUCCACUCGCCUUGUUGGAUACAAACCAGAGUUUCCAAGCAAUCCAAAACCACAGCAGCCGGUUUCCAGCAGCAAACCCAGACCACUUUUAACCAACCCCAACCGUCCUGCCUCUACCUCCUUUCGAUCACCCACUAAGUUGAACACUGGACAGACAACAAAGCCAGUAGCCCAGCCAUUUAAACCAGCUCCUCCUCAUGACACUGGAGACCCUAACAGACCCACCCCUCCUCCUGUGCCAGCACAGAGGCAGAAACCCUCAGCAUCAAGCUUGGCCUACUCAAAGAGCUUUAAAAAACUUCCAGCAGCAGAGUGGUCUGGAACCACUAAAAAAGAAGAUGAAAAAGGCCACGAUGCACAAGGUAAAGUUGGUACCUCCCUUACUAGAGCAAAGUCCAUGGGCUUUCUUCUUGAUGCAGGGCAAGAAAAUGAAGGAAAAGAAAAGGCUCAGCCUGAAACACCUGUGCCUCUGCGACCACAUCCUAGAGGCACCAAGCCCAGACCUGUAUCAGCCAUUUUCCCCGGCAGUCCAACAAAGAUGGAGAACCCGGUUCCUGCUCCUCGCUGGGCUGGGAGACGACCCCUUUCAGCUGAUCUCACUUCCAAAUUUGAGUCUAUUGGUCUUUCACUGCACCGCAAAGUUCCUGAAGCAAAUACAGUAGACAACACUCCAGAGGGAAAAGCACUACCACAAAGCAAAGAGGAAGAUAAAACCUUUAUGAGUACCACACCACAAAGUACUGAUGAUGUAUGUAAUCCCAUCCUCUCAGACCAAAGCAACAAAAACAAAGAAGAAAUGGCUGGGAAAGAGACCGAUGAAGACAAGCGCAGGGUUAGCGUCAAGUCGCGAAUAAGUCUUUUGCUCGAUUUGCCGUCUUCUCCUGGGGUAGCUGCCACCGGCCAUGGUUCAGAUCUUCACUCUCCAUUGCAGCCAACCCCUGAAGGUGAACCAGCAGUGGGUGUUAAACAGCUCAUCAAGCAGCUGACAGAGGACACAACACCGACUCAGAGCCCUGUCCUUAAACCAGCACUGAAGCCCCGUCCCUUGCCCCUUGACCUAACCAAAAGGUUUUCAGCUGAGAGGUCACCUGACCCUGUUUCCCUCACUGAGACAGAGGACCAUCAUUACAUCAGCAAAGAUCCUCAGAAGAGGGCUGAAGAGUCGGCUAUCACUCCCAGUGACCAGAAGACAUUUUUGGAUUUAAAAGAUUCCCAAGAGCAGCUCAAAAAGGUCUCCACGCCUGAAGGGCCUGAAGCAGGACAGACGUUUGGUGCUGUUUCCAAGGAAAUUGGUGCAGGCAGUGGAGUCCAAACGGUGCGAGCAUCCUUGUUUGAUAAUGUCGUGGAGAGGCACAGCGUGGUGUUGAUGGAUGAUGGCUCAUCUGUUGACACGGCCAAGGAUUUGCUCAGCAGCACGUCUCCAUUUGAUAGAACAGUUACUGAAAAUAACGGGGCUCCAGUCACAGCUAACUACAGCCAGCCUUUAUCGCCAUCAUGUCUUCAGCCCGUAUUACAUGCCUUUGACACAGUGCAGGCUGUCGAAGAGAGUCGGGCAGUGAGUGAGAGCGUCCCAUCAGCUCAGUGGGAGGAUAAGGCCAUGACCCUCCGUUCCAGACGCUCAGAAGGGAGCAGGCCUCUACCAGAAUGGACCAGUCCUGCACAAGAACAGCCACCUUUGGCACCUUUGAUGCCUCAAACACAGCCACGAUAUCUGAGGAUAGGAGCCUUACAGAAGUGGACAACUUCAGGUCUCGACCAAGACGUAGAUAUGGAAACGGGGAUGCUAAAGGAAUCACAAAGGGAGGGACAAGUGACUUUAGAUAAAGACAAGGAGAGACAAAGAGUGGCAGAACAAGAAGAAGUGGCGGCAGCACCUAAACGCUUGAAGAUGCUGCAGGCAGACGAAAUGGCAAAACCCAAGGCAACCUACUUUGCUUUAACCGGACAAAUACAGGAGCCAGUUUCUCUCGGGGGUGCAGGGACAAACACUGGGGACAUGACUAGCCCCUCUGAUGAUUUCUUAGGGAUUUCUCUCCUGAGUGGCCCUCAAGGGAAGAGUCUUCCAGUAAGGGGGAGCCAGUCUUUAAAUGAUGAUCCUUUUGGAAAAACAACUCCAUCGCAAGAGCAAGUUGAAGAUUUGAUGAUAAGAAGCCACAAGUCACCCAGGGAGAGCAGUUUAGCCUUAGAUGGACAGAGUAAAGAGGAAAGGCUAGAAGCUGAAAAGAAAAGGGAGCAAAGGAAGGAGAAAGAAAGGCACAGGACUAAGAUAAAAGAAAUUGAAAGGGAAAAACAGACACAGCUGGAAAUGGAGAAACUAGCACAUUUAGAAUUUACACGAAUGAAGGAGAGGGAGAUGCAAAGAGAAUUUGAAAGGCAAAGACAGAAGUCAUUUGAAAAGGAGAAACAAGAAUUUGAGGAGAAACAGCGUGCCCUGGAAAGGCAGAAACAGACUGAGCUUGAGAAAGUGCAAGAAUUGGAGGAGAAACAGAGACUUGAAAGAGAGAAGCAGAGGAAACUUGAGAAAGAAAAAAGGCGAGAACUAGAGAGACAAAGGGAGAGAGAGCAACACCAAAAACAAAAGGAGGAAGCGCGGCUAAAACAGUUAGAGAGACUGCAGCUCUUAGACCUUCAAAGACAGAAGCAGAAAGAAAAGGAAAUCCAGCAGCUAAAAGAAAAAAAGGAAAAAGAAGAGGCAGACAAGAUGAGACAGAUCGCAUUAGAGCAAGAAAUGUUAAGAGUAAAAGAGCUUGAAAAAGAGCGGGAAAGAGAAAAGGAGAUGGAGAAGGAGCGUCAGAAAGAGAUACAGAGGGAGCUGGAGAAACGGAGACAACAAGAUUUAGAAAGGGAGAGACAGAGGCAGCUAGACAUUGAGCAACAGGAACUGGAGAAGGAAAGGAAGAGGAAGGAGGAUGUAGAGAGACUUAAAGAGCUGGAGAGAUUACAGCUCUUGGAGUUUGAAAAGCAAAAACAGGCAGAGAGGGAGAGACAACAAAUUCAGGAGCUCGAAAAACAGAGGCAACUAGACAUUGAGCGACAGAAAUUAGAAAACCAGAGGCUGAGACAACAGGAACUGGAGAAGGAAAGGAAGAGGAAGGAGGAUGUAGAGAGACUUAAAGAGCUUGAGAGAUUACAGCUCUUGGAGUUUGAAAAGCAAAAACAGGCAGAGAGUAAGACACAACAAAUUCAGGAGCUCGAAAAACAGAGGCAACUAGACAUUGAGCGACAGAAAUUAGAAAACCAGAGGCUGAGACAACAGGAACUGGAGAAGGAAAGGAAGAGGAAGGAGGAUGUAGACAGACUUAAAGAGCUUGAGAGAUUACAGCUCCUGGAGUUUGAAAAGCAAAAGCAGGUAGAGAGGGAAAGACAACAAUUUCAGGAGCUUGAGAAACAGAGGCAACUAGACAUUGAGCGACAGAAAUUAGAAAACCAGAGGCUGAGACAACAGGAACUGGAGAAGGAAAGGAAGAGGAAGGAGGAUGUUGAGAGACUUAAAGAGCUUGAGAGAUUACAGCUCUUGGAGUACGAAAAGCAAAAGCAGGCAGAGAGGGAAAGACAACAAAUUGCGGAGUUUGAGAAACACAGACUGAGGGAAAAGAUGGAAAGGGAGGAGGCAGAACGGAUGCGAGUCAUAGCCAAGCAACAAGAAGCAGAGAGACAGCGACUAAAAGAGAAGCAGAAAAAAGAGGAGCAAGAGAGGCUAAAGUUGGAGCCAUCACCUCUGAAACCCAAAGUUCUUGAUCUGGACUCUGUGCUCAGAAAUGAACCAAUGUCUAAGUCUACUUCUCAACGCAGCGAUGCUGCAACCCGCUGGAAGGAGCCUUACAAGCCUACCAUUCUUGACAUAGACUCCUUUACAUCUCAAGCUCAGCUCUCCUCUAAUAAUGACUUGUUUCCUUCAUUGGGAAUGCAGGGACUAAAUGCUGACUUUGGGGGUAAAUUACAGCCUACACCUGAAAGUGACUUUAGCUGGAAGAUACCACCACAGACUUCAGUAGGUUUCUCAAACCCAGUAUGGACGACGCCUCCUCAGGACCCCUGGGAGCUGCAGUCAGUUGAGAUGUCUGUGGACCAGCCUAAGACUGAAUCUAGA